rnacentral:lncRNA from 1 species
UGUUAUUAUUAUUACUGUUACAUUGCUUCAUUUUCCCUAACUGUCUUUCUCUCUGUCUCAAUGGCAGCAAAUAUUAGAAUCCAAGAAGAAUGAUUUCAUAUGUCAAAAUGAAAAAGAAUCAACCAAAUAUUGUCAAACUAAGCUUAAGGACUUCUCUCAGACCCGAUGGAAGCCAUUUGUUAAGGCACCUUCUCUGUGCCAGGGAGUUACCAGCUCUUCAGGAAAGAAAGAGAAAAAAUGAUAAAAGAUUACCAUCAAGAUCCCAGGAAAGGGGUAAAGGUGAAAGGGUAAAAAGAGAAGCAGCUGAGCAGAAGAAGUUGUUGGAACAGCAACAAAUAGAAAUGCAGCAAAAGAUGGAUUCUCAGCUGAAAAGUUAUGAAGAAAACAUCAACCAAUUGAAAAAGAAGAUGGAAGAAGAUAGGAUCCAGAUCCUGGGAAAACAAAAAAUUAUUCUGGAUCAUAAGCUAAAGGAACAAAAGCAGGUGAUGGAGGAAGAAAGCUGAAGAAAUGGAAAGAGAGGUAGAGGACCUGCAAAAAAAGAUUAAGGCUGCUGAGAGUGAAAAGUCCUGCUGGUG